UACGAAGGGGGCUAGCGUUGUUCGGAAUUACUGGGCGUAAAGCGCACGUAGGCGGAUCAUUUAGUCAGGGGUGAAAUCCCGGGGCUCAACCUCGGAACUGCCUUUGAUACUGAUGGUCUCGAGUCCGGAAGAGGUGAGUGGAAUUCCUAGUGUAGAGGUGAAAUUCGUAGAUAUUCGGAAGAACACCAGUGGCGAAGGCGGCUCACUGGACUGGUAUUGACGCUGAGGUGCGAAAGCGUGGGGAGCAAACAGG
rnacentral:rRNA from 1 species